rnacentral:lncRNA from 8 species
GGGCUCCUGUGCCAAUCUCUUAAUGAGCAAGCCAGACCUUUUCCCAGUAUGGGCCUGUAACACUUCAGCCUUGGACUGCACAACUUUACAAACAAAGCAGAGGAGGAAACCAAGCAAAGUUAACCUUUGGCUCCCCAAAAUCACAAGACGCAUGGUGAAUUCCUAUAGGGGCACAUGGGACUUCCCAGCUCACUCAUACAAGUCACUUGAAGCCGAAGCUACAUCUCCCUGUGAUUUAUUUUUUAUUUAUACUACGGGGGGUCUAAUCGUGAAUGCUAAUUUGUUAAAAGUGCAUUCCAGCCGGUAUCUAUUCCACAGGUUACAACCGGCUAAAUCUAUGACGUUAAAAUGCCUAUUUAGUCUGUUCCAUUUGACUGCGCAAUCCACUGUCUCAUCAGCCCAGGCAGGGAAGUUAUGAACUUGAUCUCCACUAUAAAAAGCAUCUAGACAUUAUCUCACAUUUCUUUUAGACUAACAUUUAGUUUUCAACAGCAGAGAUUUGUAUAAACCUUACUGUCUGUCUCUCCGACAAUUGCAACAUUGCAACGUUUCUCACCCAGUCAAAAUCAUGAAUCAGCUGGCAUCAUAUUUAUGGAUUUUGUCAAUUGCAAAAAGGUUAAACAAAACGAAGUGCAGCUAGAUUGCAGUAUUUCCAGCUUCAAUUUGAAGUUAUUGUGUUGGCUGUGUUGUUGGCUAGCUCCGCUGAACAACAGUGUCCUAAUGAGAGAGCACAUUUUAUAUGCCAGUCGAAAUUGUGCCUCAUUAGCUCAUUGUUAUGGAUGUAUCCAAAUAAAUGUCACUAGAAAACAGCUUAAACAAAUGCAGCUACUGUUAUUAUUCUUUCUGCACGGUUUGAUGUGACUAAG